UUCGGAUCGGUUCGAAUCGAACCGAACUGAAAUAAACAAUUCGGUUUUAGCCCUAAAUAGCCCUACCUCACCCAGUCGCUCUUUCUCGCGCUCGCAUCUCCCUCUCCUCCUCGACGCUCCGCCUCCGAAAUUCGCGACUCCCCCUCCGGCUCCGCCGCCGCCGCCGCCUCCGACGGCCGCAGCUCCCGCCGGGAUCACGGGCCCGAGCCGGGCGUUUUCCUCGGCCGAUCCGCGCGACCGAGCCCUACCGAGACGAGAUCGCGACCGAGCCUCGCCACCGUCACCUUUUCCGUUCCUCGGUUCCCCGUCGUCGGCGGCGGCUCUUGGUGCAAGGGCACCGGCGGUAUCAUCCCCAUCACCGAAGGAUAUUCGACAAAGCUCCGAUUUUGCUGCACGAUUCCGAAGCUGAUUCGCGGCCGCGACAAACCCAGAGAGUUCCUGAGUGUUCUUCUUUGGGGUGAAAGGAGAUCACUGAGUUUUCAUGAAGUGUAUGUCGCAUUGUGUUGUUUACCAGGCAAUGGAUGUUUGUGGGCUUCCUGGAGCAUUGUAGGCGGGUUGCAUUCACAUCAAGGGCCCUUUGAGGAAGCAGAGUACAUAGUCUUGUGUAUACUGUCACUGUAUAUAUCUGAUGGACACAGAUAGAAGCAGCUGUUUCUUUCUUUUAUUCUGUGAAUGCAGACUAGUUCCAACACCAAUUUUUUUUACUCCUAUACCUUAUAUCAGAAGGACUUGUCUUUUAUCCGCUGUUAGUUUAUGAAA